rnacentral:rRNA from 1 species
UACGUAGGGGGCAAGCGUUGUCCGGAUUUAUUGGGCGUAAAGAGCGUGUAGGCGGCCAGGUAGGUCCGUUGUGAAAACUCGAGGCUCAACCUCGAGACGUCGGCGGAAACCCUCUGGCUAGAGUCCGGAAGAGGAGAGUGGAAUUCCCGGUGUAGCGGUGAAAUGCGCAGAUAUCGGGAAGAACACCCGUGGCGAAGGCGGUUCUCUGGGACGGUACUGGACGGCUGAGACGCGAAAGCGUGGGGAGCGAACAGG